rnacentral:misc_RNA from 1 species
CGUGGCUCAGUUCAGAUCGUAGGCUGCAACUCGCCUACGUGAAGUAGGAAUCGCUAGUAAUCGCAGGUCAGCAUACUGCGGUGAAUACGUUCCCGGGCCUUGUACACACCGCCCGUCACACCAUGGAAGUUGGCCAUGCCCGAAGUCGUUACUCCAACCCUUGUGGAGGAGGACGCCGAAGGUGGGGCUAAUGACUGGGGUGAAGUCGUAACAAGGUAGCCGUACCGGAAGGUGCGGCUGGAUCACCUCCUAACAGGGAGACAACAAAAUGUUUAAUAUUAAUUUUGUCACCUUAGGUCGAUCGGUAUCUCACGUUCUUAAUUUAUUAAGGAUUUUAUUUCCUAAGUUUUUUCUAGGUCACACCCAUUACUUUCCCUGGGCCAUUAGCUCAGGUGGUUAGAGCGCACCCCUGAUAAGGGUGAGGUCCCUGGUUCAAGUCCAGGAUGGCCCAUAUCUCUAUGUUGGGGGUAUAGCUCAGUUGGUAGAGCGCCUGCUUUGCAAGCAGGAUGUCAGCGGUUCGAGUCCGCUUACCUCCACUGAUUACCACCUCUUCCAUAUGUUAUGAAGGGAAUCGUUUUGAGCUGUGAUUACAAUCUGAACGAAUCUAGCUUCCUAAUUAAAUUUAUUAAGAUGCUGGACUCAUUGAAUUAAUUUCAUUGUUUUCAGAGAACCUUGACAACUGCAUAGAUUAUUUUAAAGACAAUAAGCAUCUUUAAUGAUGCAGAUUUAUUAUUUGUGCGA